CUGGAGUACUGUUUAACAACAAAUGAUCUUAUUACCUUUGCAACGAAACCCACAGAGAAGUGUGUCAUGUAUAAUUUUUCAUUGUCCACAAAGCCUGUGACAGCAUCUUCCAGGAGGGCUGAGCGGCUUUCACUUCCCUGUAAACCGUGUGUCUGAGCAUUUGUGAGCGCUCAGAGCUCACUGUUUUCCUGCUGAGGCGCUCCAGACUCGAGACAAGUGUGUUCCUUGAAGCACGAGCUCUGAGCUCUGUUCCGAUUCAGGCUGAAGGUGCUGAUGGUGUCAGCAGGAGCUCCCUACACCUGCCUGUGUUCUGUUUUUCCAGAAGUUUCUGGAGUUGUAUAUUAAAUCUCAAGAGAACCCACAGCUGAAGUUUUCCUAAUAAUGUGAGAAGCUCACUGAUGCAAUUUUCAGACUGAAGAGUUUACCACAGUCUGCAGCUACCCACCUAAUCGCAGGUAUGGAGAAGACAAAGACAGACUGAUCCCAGACAUGUAUGGUGACAGAAGUUGGAACAUUGAGAAGUCUAAUUACAUAUAAGAGAAGACCUUUAUCAAUGUAAGGAAGGCCAAACACUGGAGGUGUGCAGAGCACCUACAGAGUCUGCAAUUUCGGAGAUGUUCAGAAUGGAUAAAACUGUAAACAGCACACUCCAGCUGGACAUGGUUUGAGCAGAGAACUAGAGAAGAU